rnacentral:piRNA from 1 species
UGCUCUGGGGCCCUAAACCACUGCAGGCA